GACGAACGCUGGCGGCGUGCUUAACACAUGCAAGUCGAACGGAAAGGCCUGCUUUCCCUUGUGGAUUGCGGGUACUCGAGUGGCGAACGGGUGAGUAACACGUGAGUGAUCUGCCCCCAACUUGGGUAUAAGCCUGGGAAACUGGGUCUAAUUCCCGAUAGGACUGCAGGGUGGUGCCUGUGGUGGAAAACGAUUUUCUAGUGGUUGGGGAUGAGCUCGCGGCCUAUCAGCUUGUUGGUGGGGUAAUGGCCUACCAAGGCGGCGACGGGUAGCCGGCCUGAGAGGGUGGACGGGCACAGUGGGACUGAGAUACGGCCCAGACUCCUACGGGAGGCAGCAGUGGGGAAUAUUGCACAAUGGGCGGAAGCCUGAUGCAGCGACGCCGCGUGGGGGAUGACGGCCUGCGGGUUGUAAACUCCUUUCGACCGCGAGGAAGCCACCUGGUUGGAAGGGUGGUGACGGUAGUGGUAGAAGAAGCACCGGCUAACUACGUG
rnacentral:rRNA from 1 species